CCUACGGGAGGCAGCAGUGGGGAAUAUUGCACAAUGGGGGAAACCCUGAUGCAGCGACGCCGCGUGAGUGAAGAAGUAUUUCGGUAUGUAAAGCUCUAUCAGCAGGGAAGAAGAAAGACGGUACCUGACUAAGAAGCCCCGGCUAACUACGUGCCAGCAGCCGCGGUAAUACGUAGGGGGCAAGCGUUAUCCGGAUUUACUGGGUGUAAAGGGAGCGUAGACGGCUGUGCAAGUCUGAAGUGAAAGCCCAGGGCUCAACCCUGGGACUGCUUUGGAAACUGUGGAGCUAGGGUGCUGGAGAGGUAAGUGGAAUUCCUAGUGUAGCGGUGAAAUGCGUAGAUAUUAGGAGGAACACCAGUGGCGAAGGCGGCUUACUGGACAGUAACUGACGUUGAGGCUCGAAAGCGUGGGGAUCAAACAGGAUUAGAUACCCCAGUAGUC
rnacentral:rRNA from 1 species